UGAUGUGAAAACCCUUUUUGAUUUUAUGUUCCUAAACGAAAAUAUGAAAUUAUAAUUUUCUAAUUCGUCACUACCUCUGAGUAA
rnacentral:snoRNA from 1 species